rnacentral:rRNA from 1 species
GGCAGACGGCUCAGUAACACGUAGUCAAUCUAACCUAUGGAUGGGAAUAACCUCGGGAAACUGAGAAUAAUACCCAAUAGAUCAUUAUGCCUGGAAUGGUUUAUGAUUCAAAUGAUUUUUCGCCAUAGGAUGGGACUGCGAUCUAUCAGCUUGUUGGUGAGGUAAUGGCCCACCAAGGCUAUAACUGAUACGGGCUCUGAGAGGAGAAGCCCGGAGAUGGGUACUGAGACACGGACCCAGGCCCUAUGGGGCGCAGCAGGCGAGAAAACUUUGCAAUGUGCGAAAGCACGACAAGGUUAAUCCGAGUGUUUUCUGCUAAAGAAAUCUUUUGUCAGUCCUAAAAACACUGAUGAAUAAGGGGUGGGCAAGUUCUGGUGUCAGCCGCCGCGGUAAAACCAGCACCUCAAGUGGUCAGGAGGAUUAUUGGGCCUAAAGCAUCCGUAGCCGGCUGUGUAAGUUUUCGGUUAAAUCUAUGUGCUCAACAUAUAGGCUGCCGAGAAUACUGUACAGCUAGGGAGUGGGAGAGGUAGACGGUACUCGGUAGGAAGGGGUAAAAUCCUUUGAUCUAUUGAUGACCACCUGUGGCGAAGGCGGUCUACUAGAACACGUCCGACGGUGAGGGAUGAAAGCUGGGGGAGCAAACCGGAUUAGAUACCCGGGUAGUCCCAGCUGUAAACUAUGCAAACUCAGUGAUGCACUGGCUUGUGGCCAGUGCCAGUGCCGCAGGAAGCCGUUAAGUUUGCCGCUGGGAAGUACGUACGCAAGUAUGAAACUUAAAGGAAUUGGCGGGGGAGCACCACAAGGGGUGAAGCCUGCGGUUCAAUUGGAUU